CACACAUUUCACUACUCUCCAUAGAGAAGUGAUCGGUGCUCCAAGACACCUGCACCCCCAACGAGGCCAACUUGACCGUCAAAGGCCCAGAAGCCAGCGUUGGUCAGAAGAAUUCAAAUGAGAGGGGCAUGGUCAAGAUUACUGGACUUCCUGAAAGCGGCUGCUCCGAGAUUGAUAUCGCAAAGCUGGCCCAGCCCUUCGGAACACCUGUCAAGAUCCUCCUCAUCACCAAGCCCAGUGAGGCUCUGGUCACCAUGCAGGAUGUGGAGUCAGCCCAGGAGAUGGUGAAAUUGUACAAGACGCAGUC